UACAUACAUAUAUAUAUAUAUAUAUAUAUUUUUUUUUUUUCCAAAAUCAAAUUGUUGCUUAGAUACGUGUCCUUGCUUGGCAUUUAGAGAUUUCAGACUGCCUUUUGCGAGAGUAAAACUCAUGUUAAUCAUUUCCCGCACUAUUAGACCGAGUCCUGCUUGUCUGUCGAUGCAUCUUAACUGCUGCGCGCCAAGCGUUCAACAAAAUUCCUGAGAGAGGUGACACUCAUUUUACUGAUUCUGAUUCUUGGAAAAGGAUAUGAAGAUGUUUGUGAUAGAGGACUAGCGAAGCAAUCCUGGCUGCUUUAAAGCAUUGGAGCCGGUUUAACAGAUGAACUGGGUAGGAAGGAAGCUCACAAAAUACUCUCUUUGUACAGCGCUCAAUUCUUGUGCUAAAACCCUGAACUGGCGCUUAGGUUUGCAAAUUCAUGCUCAUGUUAUUAAAAUUGGAUACGAAGACAAUUUGUUUUUGAACACUGCGCUCGUUGAUUUGUAUGCAAAAUGUAAUGCUGUUGUGGAUUCUAGAAGGAUAUUUUACUGCAUGAAAAGGCAUGAUCAAGUCUCGUGGACGUCAAUUAUAACUGGGUUCUCGCAGAAUGGCCAUGGAAUAGAAGCCAUUUCGAUGUUUAAAGCGAUGCUGAGCACCGAGAUCAAACCCAAUAGUUUUACUUAUGUUAGUGUUAUAAGUGCAUGUACUCGGCUCACUGGUGCUCUUAAACAAGUUUCAUUGCUUCAUGCUCAUGUUAUGAGACUUGGUUUCGAUGAAAACAGUUUUGUUGUCAGCACUUUAAUUGAUUGUUAUUCAAAGUGGGGAGCAAUGGAUCAAGCUGCAUUGUUAUUUUCUGAGACAGCAGAUAGGGAUAAUAUUCUUUUCAAUUCUAUGAUUUCAGGGUAUUCACAGAACCUAUACAGUGAAGAGGCUCUAAAACUGUUUAUGGAAAUGAGGAAUAAGCAUUUGAGUCCUACCAGUCAUACUUUAACCAGUAUUUUAAAUGCCUGUGGAAGCCUUGCAGUACUUCAACAGGGAUGCCAAAUACACUCUCUGGUCACAAAAAUGGGUUCAGAAAGUAAUGUUUUUGUGGUCAGUGCUUUGAUAGAUAUGUAUUCAAAAUGUGGCAGCAUUGAUUGGGCUCGUUAUGUAUUUGAUCGGACAGUGGAAAAGAAUAGUAUUUUGUGGACUUCAAUGAUCAUGGGUUAUGCUCAGAGUGGUAGGGGGUUGGAUGCAUUAGAGCUUUUUGAGCAUGCUAAGGCUGAAGAAAGGUUCACGCCAGACCAUAUCUGUUUCACUGCUGUUUUGACAGCCUGUAAUCAUGCAGGGCUUCUUGAAAGAGGAGUAGAUUAUUUUAACCAAAUGAGACAGGAUUAUGGGCUAGUUCCUGAGCUAGAUCAGUAUGCCUGCCUGGUUGAUCUCUAUGCAAGAAAUGGGCGUCUGAGAAAGGCAAAGGAGUUAAUAAAGGAAAUGCCUUAUAAACCAAACUAUGUAAUGUGGAGUUCAUUCUUAAGUUCUUGCAAGAUAGAUGGUGAAGUAGACCUUGCACGAGAGGCUGCUCAAAAACUGAUUGAGAUGGACCCAAGUAAUGCUGCCCCUUACGUAACGUUGUCUCAUAUUUAUGCAAGAGCUGGUUUAUGGGAUGAAGUAGCUGAGGUUAGGAAAUCGAUGCAACAAAAGGCAAUAAGGAAAAGUGCAGGAUGGAGUUGGGUUGAAGUAGAUAAAGUGGUUCAUGUCUUUUCAGUCAGUGAUAUUGCUCACCCUUGUACGGGAGAUAUAUAUGUAGAGUUGGAAAAGCUGAACAUGGAAAUGAAAGAGACUAGUUAUAUGCUCAAACAAAUAGAAAAUAUUGUUGGAGAAUAGUUUUAGCAAACUGAUAACUCAUACUUAGGAAUAUUUACAGUAGUUGGUAAUGGAGGAGCCAAAUAUUUUGGUUGUUGAGGCUUAUUUAUGUGGGACCACUGUGGUUGCGUAGAAGUGUGGUGCUUAGUUUAAUGUCUAGGCCUUCAUGUCAUACGAAUACUACUUAUUAAGAAUUCAGUGAUCACUCAUUACUGGAAGGUCUUUUGGAAGUAAGACCAGGUACUUUCAACGCCUUCACCCAUCGAUCCCCUAGACUUGGUGUCUGACUUCUUGAAGACAAACACGGAGAAACUCGUCCUACAAGAUUCUUAUCAUGUGUGAAGAGACAAAUACUGAUUCCCCGGCAUGGUCAUUUUAUUGGAAAAAGGGCAAGGAUUUCGGUGGGCAUACUGUCCGCUAGUUUUAUGAGAUUCUACUUUACUGGUACAGAUGUACAUUUAUUAUAAAUUAUACAUACCAGUGAUUUUUUUUUUUUUUUUUUGAUAAACAUAUAUAGCAAUGAUUUUAUUAUAUACAAGUGUUUGAAACCAAAUAACAACUUUAUGUGCUACGUACAAAGACCAACUAUUUUCAUAAGAUCAUAAAUGUUUACCAAUUUGGUGAACAUCUUUUAUAGAUCCCACCUAGUAGCACAUGGGUCUAUACAUGCUGCUGCAUGGUAAUUGCUGCAAUUGUUGCAAUUUUCUGCCUCGGCUUGUGAAAUAUAGCAGUAGAAUAUAAAUAUUUCCGCCAUUUUUUUUAAUUUCCCAUAAAAAUUCAUUUAUUCUUCUCGCUGGCAUUUUAGAGCACUUGCUUAUAGAGAAAAAUUAUAUGAUGUUGAAAACUGUGCUUCACACAGCAAAAAGAAAACAUUAUCUCGCCUUAAGAUGGGUGCUCUAUAGGCUGUGAAGCUGUAACUUUGUCAUUUACCAAGAAUUAUUUGAAAAUAUAAGAAAGAUUAUUACAGAGGAUAUGUGGAAAUCUUAGAAUCAUUUUAUAUUUUAAGAGUUUUACAAUUUGAAGGAUUCAAUUUAAAUUUUUUGAUUAGUUGUAGAUGGCGAAGCUUUUUCUAAUUGAAUGUAUAUAUGGUUCGUCCACCUUAAUUAUAAUGUUUGAUAAUCUGUGAUGAAAAAUAGUUUUCUGUAUUUUAUAUAUUUGUGCAUAACUUUACUCGGCCCAGUGUCACAUGUGAGUAAAUUUUAGGUCAGCAAUAAAUCACCUUGGAUUUGCAUAAAAUGUUUGAUUGAUAUUUUCCAUCACGUUGGCAGGUUAUAUAUGGUUUUGUUUAUUCAUUUUCCAUUAAACAAUCUUACCACUCUCUUGCAUUGUGACAACUAUUUUAAACCAAGUCGGUCAAAUUGUUCACGCAUAG